AUUGAACGCUGGUGGCACGCUUAACACAUGCAAGUCGAACGGCAGCAUGGAAGAAACUUUCGGGUUUUUUCUGAUGGCGAGUGGCGAACGGGUGAGUAACACGUAGGAAUAUACCUUGAAGAAGGGGGAUAACUUGGGGAAACUCAAGCUAAUACCGCAUAUGCUCUGCGGAGCGAAGCCGGGGGACUUUCGGGCCUGGCGCUUUGAGAAUAGCCUGCGUCUGAUUAGCUAGUUGGUGGGGUAAAGGCCUACCAAGGCAUCGAUCAGUAGCUGGUCUGAGAGGAUGGACAGCCACACUGGGACUGAGACACGGCCCAGACUCCUACGGGAGGCAGCAGUGGGGAAUAUUGGACAAUGGGGGGAACCCUGAUCCAGCGAUGCCGCGUGUGUGAAGAAGGCC
rnacentral:rRNA from 1 species